UGCCAGCCGCCGCGGUAAUACGGAGGGUGCAAGCGUUAAUCGGAAUUACUGGGCGUAAAGCGCGCGUAGGCGGCUUGUUAAGCCAGAUGUGAAAGCCCCGGGCUCAACCUGGGAACUGCAUUUGGAACUGGCAGGCUAGAGUACAGUAGAGGGUGGUGGAAUUUCCAGUGUAGCGGUGAAAUGCGUAGAGAUUGGAAGGAACAUCAGUGGCGAAGGCGGCCACCUGGACUGAUACUGACGCUGAGGUGCGAAAGCGUGGGGAGCAAACAGGAUUAGAUA
rnacentral:rRNA from 1 species